CUUUUCCUGGUGAUCUGAAGCGUAUGGCCUUUGUCACCUUCAACAACAUUCACCGAGAGCCUACUGUGGCCCAGGCCGCUUCACACAGGGAGAAAGAGGGAAAGGCUGGCAGUUUUCGAGAGAAGAAUGUAGAGGAAGAAUUAAAAUUUGGAAAGUUGCUUGAUAA